AUUGAACGCUGGCGGCAGGCUUAACACAUGCAAGUCGAGCGGGGGAAGGUAGCUUGCUACCGGACCUAGCGGCGGACGGGUGAGUAAUGCUUAGGAAUCUGCCUAUUAGUGGAGGACAACAUCUCGAAAGGGAUGCUAAUACCGCAUACGUCCUACGGGAGAAAGCAGGGGAUCUUCGGACCUUGCGCUAAUAGAUGAGCCUAAGUCGGAUGAGCUAGUUGGUGGGAUAAAGGCCUACCAAGGCGACGAUCUGUAGCGGGUCUGAGAGGAUGAUCCGCCACACUGGGACUGAGACACGGCCCAGACUCCUACGGGAGGCAGCAGUGGGGAAUAUUGGACAAUGGGGGGAACCCUGAUCCAGCCAUGCCGCGUGUGUGAAGAAGGCCUUAUGGUUGUAAAGCACUUUAAGCGAGGAGGAGGCUACUUUAGUUAAUACCUAGAGAUAGUGGACGUUACUCGCAGAAUAAGCACCGGCUAACUCUGUGCCAGCCGCCGCCGUAACAC
rnacentral:rRNA from 1 species